rnacentral:rRNA from 1 species
CUUCGAAGGCCUUCUAGACUGGCGCCGCUACUCUGGCAACAGAGCGGCGGAUGCCGGGAAGUUGGUCAAACUUGAUCAUUUAGAGGAAGUAAAAGUCGUAACAAGGUUUCCGUAGGUGAACCUGCGGAAGGAUCAUUACCGAUGUGAAAAAUCCAAGGUUAAACAUCAUUAACCAACCAGUGUGAACUGUGAAACAACUCUUUAGGGGUCGGCACAGGCGUGUGUCGUUAAAUGGCGGAUAGGUUCCUUCCGCCAGCCCCGCCAUUGUGUUUAUGAUAUCACUUUGAACGUUAAAGACUGAGAACGUAUGUAUCAUGCAUUAAAUGUAUGAGAAAGAAGGAAAGAAAAAUGAGAGACAACUUUUGACGGUGGAUCUCUUGGCUCACGUAUCGAUGAAGAACGCAGCCAGCUGCGAUAUGUAGUGUGAAUUGCAGAAUUCAGUGAAUCAUUGAAUCUUUGAACGCAAAUGGCGCUCUUGGGUUCUCCCAGGAGCAUGUCUGUCUGAGUGUCGGAUUUUAUCGAACGCACUCGUGAGUGCGGUAUUGAGGUGUCACGGCGUGUUAGCAAGCAAGCAAUCAAUCACUAAGUCCCCUGGACGCUUGAAGGACUGCACCCUUGUUCUCUAAUUCUCUAUGGAAGCUUGAGUGAAAAAGAUAAAUAUACUAUUUCCCUUCAUGCAAUCAUGCAAUAACAGACCGAACAUCCCGUCGACGGACUGACAGACUCUGAUCUCGUCCUCUCAUGACGUCAGAUCACGCGCUGAUACUCGCUGUAUUUAUGCAUAUAAGAAAACAGACGAAAAGAGACUACCUCGGAAUCGCUCAGUGACGGCGAGAGAACUCGGAAUAGCUCACAUCUGCGCUCGCGACGCUAGCUGCAGCUAAUUGAAGUCUUACAAGCACUUUCUAGCGUGAUCAGUCUUGUCUAAAUAGCAUGUAACAGAACGUGAUAAACGGGAUGUGCCUCUCUGGGCUCUCACGACGGUCAUCAUGUGCUUUCGAUGAUUGGGAUG